rnacentral:sRNA from 1 species
UCUCCUGAAAUGUGCAGGGCAGCCAUCAA